AGCUCAGCUGGGAGAGCGCGGGCUUUGCAAGCCUGAGGCCGUGGGUUCGAACCCCAUC
rnacentral:tRNA from 1 species